GCCUGUCUAGCUUCCAGUCGGUAGAGCGCAAGGCUCUUAACCUUGUGGUCGUGGGUCUGAGCCCCACGGUGGGUG